rnacentral:rRNA from 1 species
AAAUGAAUUGACGGGGACCCGCACAAGCAGCGGAGCAUGUGGUUUAAUUCGAAGCAACGCGAAAAACCUUACCAGGGCUUGACAUCCCUCUGACCGGAACUUAACCGUUCCUUUCUUCGGACAGAGGAGACAGGUGGUGCAUGGUUGUCGUCAGCUCGUGUCGUGAGAUGUUGGGUUAAGUCCCGCAACGAGCGCAACCCUUGUCGUCAGUUACUAACAUUCAGUUGAGGACUCUGACGAGACUGCCGAGGUCAACUCGGAGGAAGGUGGGGAUGACGUCAAAUCAUCAUGCCCCUUAUGUUCUGGGCUACACACGUGCUACAAUGGCCGGUACAAUGAGACGCAAAACAGCGAUGUGGAGCAAAUCACCAAAACCGGUCCCAGUUCGGAUUGCAGGCUGCAACUCGCCUGCAUGAAGUCGGAGUUGCUAGUAAUCGCGGAUCAGCAUGCCGCGGUGAAUGCGUUCCCGGGUCUUGUACACACCGCCCGU